rnacentral:rRNA from 1 species
GACGAACGCUGGCGGCGUGCCUAAUACAUGCAAGUUGAGCGAUGAAGAUUGGUGCUUGCACCAAUUUGAAGAGCAGCGCACGGGUGAGUAACGCGUGGGGAAUCUGCCUUUGAGCGGGGGACAACAUUUGGAAACGAAUGCUAAUACCGCAUAAUAACUUUAAACAUAAGUUUUAAGUUUGAAAGAUGCAAUUGCAUCACUCAAAGAUGAUCCCGCGUUGUAUUAGCUAGUUGGUGAGGUAAAGGCUCACCAAGGCGAUGAUACAUAGCCGACCUGAGAGGGUGAGCGGCCACAUUGGGACUGAGACACGGCCCAAACGCCUACGGGAGGCAGCAGUAGGGAAUCGUCGGCAAUGGACGAAAGUCUGACCGAGCAACGCCGAGUGAGUGAAGAAGGUUUUCGGAUCGUAAAACUCUGUUGGUAGAGAAGAACGUUGGUGAGAGUGGAAAGCUCAUCAAGUGACGGUAACUACCCAGAAAGGGACGGCUAACUACGUG